rnacentral:rRNA from 1 species
AUUGAACGCUGGCGGCAGGCCUAACACAUGCAAGUCGAGCGAGCGACGGACGGGUGAGUAAUGUACGGCGACUGCUCGAUAGAGGGGGAUAACUACUGGAAACGGUAGCUAAUACCGCAUACUAUCGGAUAACCUAUAUGGGAUUAGCUAGUAGGUGAGGUAAUGGCUAACCUAGGCGACGAUCCCUAGCUGGUCUGAGAGGAUGAUCAGCCACACUGGAACUGAGACACGGCCCAGACUCCUACGGAGGCAGCAGUGGGGAAUAUUGCACAAUGGGCGCAAGCCGGAUGCAGUCAUGCCGCGUGUAUGAAGAAGGCCCUAGGGUGGUAAAGCACUUUCAGUCGGGAGGCGUUACCGACAGAAGAAGCACCGGCUAACUCCGUGCCAGCAGCCGCGGUAAUAC